AACGAACGCUGGCGGCAUGCCUAACACAUGCAAGUCGAACGAGACCUUCGGGUCUAGUGGCGCACGGGUGCGUAACGCGUGGGAAUCUGCCCUUGGGUUCGGAAUAACAGUGAGAAAUUACUGCUAAUACCGGAUGAUGUCUUCGGACCAAAGAUUUAUCGCCCAGGGAUGAGCCCGCGUAGGAUUAGCUAGUUGGUGGGGUAAUGGCCUACCAAGGCGACGAUCCUUAGCUGGUCUGAGAGGAUGAUCAGCCACACUGGGACUGAGACACGGCCCAGACUCCUACGGGAGGCAGCAGUGGGGAAUAUUGGACAAUGGGCGCAAGCCUGAUCCAGCAAUGCCGCGUGAGUGAUGAAGGCCUUAGGGUUGUAAAGCUCUUUUACCCGGGAUGAUAAUGACAGUACCGGGAGAAUAAGCUCCGGCUAACUCCGU
rnacentral:rRNA from 1 species